rnacentral:lncRNA from 1 species
GGAGCCGACACACACUCUUUGAGAUUAUGAUUGGGAAUGUUUUUUAGAGCAGGGGCACUUACUUUGUUUUCCUCUCGGUUUUGGAACGUUUUUUUGGAGCUCUGGAAUGUUUUGGACAUGGUUUUUCAUAAAAUGAAAGAAGAAUACUCUUGUUACUUCAUUUUAUUUCUUUUAUGCAUUUUUAGGUGAGGGUUUUUAUUGCUUCUUAGCUGCAACGAAAAGACAUUCAUUCUAAAUAUGAAGUAGUGUUUUCUCUCCUUUCAUUAAAUGCAAAUACUGUGAUUUAUGGUUGGAGAUUUGUUUCACUGAAGGUUGAAGAAUAGUAAUGUCAACUAGCAUUUGUAGAGCCUUUCAAGUAUUUUAUUUAGUAAAAAGGUGGGGCUGAUUUGGUUAGCUGAUUUACGGCUUUUGCUUUGCUUGUGCUAUCACAUUUGGGAAACACAUUUUCAAUUUCUUGGAAGCACAUGGUGUAUCACGUUACUUUGGUUUUGCUUUUUAGAAUGAUGAAAACUUUGAUUUAGGGAAGGAAGGUGAUUUGAUUUGGGAUGCAGGAGGUGUCACGGCUAAUGAUGAAAGGGUAGAAGAAAUUUUCGUUUUUUCCUUGGAUGCACAUGACGUUAUGGGCAGGCUGGAAAAUAAAAAAUAUAUGCUGAAGGGUAUUGCUUUGGAGGAUGAUGGGAUGUUGUGACAGCUGCAGAAUAGGCACGGCCCCCUUGAGUAGAUAGUACAUGUUCAUUGCAAUUUCCUUUUCAUAGGAGAGCACAUGGAAUUGGUUGAAUCUCCUUGAUGUUUGCAGCACUCCUGCAUCUCUCGGUCAAAAGGGGAGCUUUUUCUUGGGAAGAACGCACUGAAAUAAAUUUCAAUUAAGUACAAUUGCAUUUAAGUUGGUGAGAUACUCGGUCACUAAUUUAUGGAGAAAGCUUGUGAUACCGUUGGUAUUUUCCUGUUUUCGCUAAUAGUGCUUAAUUUGACUGGAAAUUCUAAUUUUAAUUAAUUUGAAUUUUUUGAGCUAAUUAAUUGCAGGAAAAUUUUGGAGAUACAAUUUUGGACAUUAGAGGAGACACCAAUUCAUUCAAGACUCUCCAAUUAGACAUUUUAAAUUUAGUUAUAUUGUAAUUUAAUUGUUUCAAGUUUUUUGACAAACUUGUGCACAUUGGGCCAUUGUUGGCAAAAUUUAUGAUUGGCCCAAAGUUGUAAGACACUUGUCACCCUAGGGUUUCUUUUAGGGUGGAUCCCACCCCUAUUUUUGGAGACACUUGGCCCUAGGAAUUGGAGUAACCAGCCGCUGUAGACUUGGAAAUUCACUCUCGGCAUUUUUCUAAUUGAAGGGGGGCUGCAACGUUUUUAAAAAAAUGUAGGGAGCUACAGCGUUUUUAAGUGGGAGGGUUGGAACGUUUGUCCAUUUUUUUUUCUUUAAACCAUGUCUACGGUGUUUGAUUUUGGAUGAAUUAAGAAGCUGAAGUUUCUUUUUGCUUUUCUCUCUUUACCUGUUCAUUUAGAAAGCUGGAACGUCCAGCAGCUGCCACC